rnacentral:tRNA from 1 species
ACCUGGCUGGCUCAGUCAGUAGAGUGUGUGACUCUUGAUCUCAGGGUUGUGAGCUCAAACCCCACAUUGGGUG